UGAAAUAUUAUGUUGGAGCAUUGGAAAUUAGACCAAAUGAGUUUAAACUGGACAAAUUUACAAGAGUUUUCUGGAAAUAUGAACUUUUAAACAUGUGUAUUUCAUGAUUCAGUUAAAAUGGAGGGAACUACAUGUAUAUAACCAUUUCUAACAGUUGCAAACUUUCAAGUCUUGGAGUCACAUGAGAUGUUUCAACUCAAAGGAUGUCAGAUGAGGGAAAAGUGAUAAUGUACUGUUGAAUACAGAAUGCUUUCAAAACCAUCCUGGACCAACUGCAGAGCAAGGUUAUUGGCAUAACCACCUACAGUAAGAUGGCCAUUGUUCUAUUCCGCUUUUUGUAUAAAGAGGAGGAAUAUGCCGGAAAAUCAUUGACAGGGAAAGCAUCCAAAAGUGGCGAAAAAAGGCCACCUGUUGACCAAGAAAAGUUGACAGGAAUUUACGAUAUCAUCAAAAGGAAUUUUCCGCAUGUCACACCAGUGAUGGUCAGGGAAAAGCUGCGUGACAUUGUCAAGCCAUCUCGUGCCAACAAAACAGUGAAACAAUAAAUAUGUGUACAAAAUAAACUGUGGCCGUUUUAGCCAUUCAGAACAAUAUAAAUGAGAACAUUUGAGAACUUGUUUUACUUCAUAUAUGGUGUAAUAAAUCUUUAAUGUGUCAUAAUUUUACAGCCUUGUCAAUUCAAAAUCAUUGUUACACUAGUGCAACUCCCAAGUGAAAAAGAUUAUGUGGGACCUUUUUUUACAGACUUUUAAACAGGUAUCUCAACACAAGUGUGAUAUCAUGGACAAUGACCAUGGAUGUUAUAAAAGAUUCCUCAAAAUUGGUUUUGAACAUGGAUAGAAUGGACAUUGUCCAUAGAAAGAAUGGACAUUAUCCAUGGAAAGAAUGGACAUUGUCCAUGGUAAGAAUGGACAUUGUCCAUGGUAAGAAUGGACAUUGUCCAUGGACAUCAUGGACAUUGUCCAUGGGUAUCAUGGACAAUGGACAUGGAAAGCAUGGACAUGGAUAGCAUGGACACUGUCCAGGGAUAUAAAGAAUUGUCCAUGGACAAGUGUUUCAAUACUCCAUGGACACUGUCCAUGCUUAUAUCCAUGGAAAUCCAUGGACAUUCUGUAGCCGGGAU